rnacentral:rRNA from 1 species
GAUGAACGCUGGCGGCGCGUCUUAAACAUGCAAGUCGAACGAUCUGUAGCAAUACAGGGAGUGGCGGACGGGUGAGGAACACGUAGGAAUCUACCUAGAAGAGCGGGACAACUUUGGGAAACCGGGGCUAAUACCGCAUAGUACAGAGAUGUUAAAGGGCUAGCAAUAGUCGCUUCUAGAUGAGCCUGCGGUCUAUCAGCUUGUUGGUGAGGUAAUGGCUCACCAAGGCAACGACGGAUAGCCGGUCUGAGAGGAUGAUCGGCCACACUGGCACUGAGACACGGGCCAGACUCCUACGGGAGGCAGCAGUUAAGAAUCUUGCGCAAUGGGGGAAACCCUGACGCAGCGACGCCGCGUGAAGGAUGAAGGCUUUCGGGUUGUAAACUUCGGUAGACUGGGAAGAAGAACUACGUUCGUUGAGGGCGUAGAGUGACGGUACCAGUCUGAAGCCCCGGCUAAUUACGUGCCAGCAGCCGCGGUAAU